CCUGCGGCAACGGCAAUGGCCCCGGCCCGCCCGCGGCGGGAGCCCGGCACAGCCAGUAAUCGCGUGUAGGGCAGCCACCCCUUUCCUCGCUGCCUCCGGGCCUGAGGUCAAACUCGGCUUGUCCUUCGUUCCCUCCUGCGCCACCGUUAACUUGCUCUGCUGCUUUUGUCCUUCUAGAGAGUCCACGCUGCCCCGGUGUUAGCAUCCCCAGUGUGCGACAGAGUGGCAACAGAUCCCAGUUAUAGAAGAUAACGCAUCCAAACGAUUUUUACCUUCUGCCAUGGCUCAGUUUGGAGGACAGAAGAACCCGCCUUGGGCUACUCAGUUUACAGCUACUGCAGUCUCUCAGCCAGACUUCUCUUUUAGCUUUUCUUCAUAAGUCAUAUUUCCCAGUCCUCUAACUCACUGAUACUCAAGCAAGAUGCUGCUUUGAAGGGUGCCAUGAGGUGAGGAAAUAAGCAGAUAAGAAAACCAGUUCACCCACCCUUACUGCCCAGUUCCUGUGUGAGGAGGUAAGUACUGUAAAAUAUAAAUUAGUUUUUGAAACUGGGUGCCACUCAGUUCACAGAAGUUAUGCAGGGGUACCUUGAGUUCAAAAAGGUUGAGAACCACUGCUCUAAUAAUUUAUGUUGACUCUUGUGCUCUCAUUAAAAGUCUCCUUCAUGGUCUCUAUUCCUUUGGAGGAGCCAUGAGGUGGUGGAACGUGUUCAGUUGCUCUUUGGAGAUGGCACAUAUGCACUGUGAUUGGGACUAGGAACUUUGAGAAACUGAAUCAUGCCCAGUAAGGAUGGAUUCCCCAGAGACUGCUGUUAAGCUGUAGCAAAUCUCUACUGUGCAUGUGCAAACUGAUUUUACACCCCUCUGUCCUGCUUCACAGGCAUAUAACUGCCAUACAU